UUUAUUUAUAUAGCCCUUCGUACAUCAGCUGAUAUCUCAAAGUGCUGUACAGAAACCCAGCCUAAAACCCCAAACAGCAAGCAAUGCAGGUGUAGAAGCACGGUGGCUAGGAAAAACUCCCUAGAAAGGCCAAAACCUAGGAAGAAACCUAGAGAGGAACCAGGCUAUGUGGGGUGGCCAGUCCUCUUCUGGCUGUGCCGGGUGGAGAUUAUAACAGAACAUGGCCAAGAUGUUCAAAUGUUCAUAAAUGACCAGCAUGGUCGAAUAAUAAUAAGGCAGAACAGUUGAAACUGGAGCAGCAGCACAGUCAGGUGGAAGUUGAAACUGGAGCAGCAGCAUGGCCAGGUGGACUGGGGACAGCAAGGAGUCAUCAUGUCAGGUAGUGCUGGGGCAUGGUCCUAGGGCUCAGGUCCUCCGAGAGAGAGAAAGAAAGAGAGAAGGAGAGAAUUAGAGAACGCACACUUAGAUUCACACAGGACACCGAAUAGGACAGGAGAAGUACUCCAGAUAUAACAAACUGACCCCAGCCCCCCGACACAUAAACUACUGCAGCAUAAAUACUGGAGGCUGAGACAGGAGGGGUCAGGAGACACUGUGGCCCCAUCCGAGG
ensembl:lncRNA